rnacentral:lncRNA from 1 species
AGCGCUCCCCCGAGGCUUGACUGGCUUCCUUUUAUUUGGACGGGCGUUGUCAAAGAGGGAGGGAAAGCAGGGAGCUUAUUGGGGGCUCACUCGCGAUCUCGAGCUGGCGACCCCACGCUCCUCCCACCACCUCGCCUCCGCCAUCGCGGCCGCGGGUCUCCUAGCCGCCGCCGCCGCCCCCCACGCCGCCCAGCGCAGCUGCCGCACGCCCCCGGCGCGGGCGGCGCCGCCACCCUUGACUCUUUAUUUCUCUUCUCUUAUCCUCAAUCCCCAGCCCCGAACAGAUCUCUCUCGCACGAAACUCCUCUCUCGAUCCACAACCGCACGCGCUCCGCCCCGCCCCGUCCCCCGGCGGCAAGACCUGUGGGCCUGGCCCGAACCCUGAGAGCAACGAACCCCUAGCGGCACCGGCCGGGCCGCCGCCCAUCUCCUCCUUCCUCGUCCUUCGCGACUGCUCCUUCGCAGGUCACCACAGCAGAGCCUCCUUCUGUAAUUCGUGGUUACAACUGCUUGCGGGGUGCGGGGUCCGGAAUCACGGGGAGUCCAGUGCCAGAAGGCUGCCGUCUACGCCUGGCCUCCGCUGCUCCGGUCUUCCAUUCCACGUUCUGAAUUUGAGGUAAGUUCUUGAUCUAGAGGACUUAUUGGUUCGUGAUUUGGCUAGGGAUUUGGUUCUUAAUCUUAAUCUCAGGGGAAAUUUGUUCUUGUUCUUUCAGUUCUGCUCCUCCUCCUUUCUCCGUCGACAUUAUAUUGAUGCACUGCGGUCUACUCAUAGAGUAGCACUAUUAUAAGAUACAAAAAAAAAUGCUAUUCCGUAUUAAGAAUGCUCAUGAUAGUUUUCUAAUAAGGAUGUAGAAUGAAUCUGAUGUUGUUAGUUUCAGUGAUCUUUGGUGCUGGUAAUACGCAUGAUUGUGCCCUUAUUAAAUCUAUUGGUUCGAGUUUCUUAUCAAUCCAUUUCAUUCCUGAUAAUUGCAAGAUGACAUUCUUUUUCAUUUUCAGUUAUGCAGUUCUAUUUCUUGACGGGAGUUCUUUUUCAGUUUUAGUUAUUCUUCUUAAAUUUGUUACCUUCUGAUGUUGAACUAUAUAUGCUCUCCACUAUGUUCUUCAGCAUGCUGCUAGGCUGCUUAACAUUGCUAAGACAUGUGAACUUCUAAUGAUCCUUUGAAUAUGAGAUUCAUGUAUUCUGUUAGAGUUUACUGCAUGUUAGUUAGAGAUACAUGCAUACUAAUUAGAGAUACUGCAUGUAAGAGUUUCUACUGCAGAUUGUAUAUGACUGCUUUGUAUCUCAUAUUGCUCAAUGUGGAAUUGUGGAGUUUGAUUUGCCGAAAGAUGAGGAUAGGACCAUGAACAAGACUUGCAAGUGUACAAGUAAUCAAGAGAAGUUGAUACUUCUGGUUAUGAGAGUGAUCUUUUCAGGAAUAAGAAUUGUAUUUAUGUAGUAUUGUAUCAAUUGUAUCAAGUUUGUUACUUCUGCAGUACAUCCUGGCUCGUUAAUUCGACUUGUGGGCAUGCCUUUACCUGUAGAAAAAAAAUAUGAAUUUAGUUGUGCAUGGCUGAUGUAUCUGAAAGACAAUCUUCAUAUAAUCUGACAGCUGGCAACCUAUGCACGGGAUAAACGGGCUGACGUUGUUGAGCCCAUAUGUCUCAGCUUCGUCCGUACGGUAGAGGUCGGCCGCUUCCCCAAGGGCCCGGUUGAGUGAAAAUCUUUCUUGCUUAUACCUGGAUGCGGAGCAGAUCUUGGUUGGAUAUGUGUGUGGAUUUUAUUACUAGCAAAAUGCAUAUCCAUACGUUUGUAUUAUUCUGAUAUGCGUUGAGUUCAAGUUCAUACAUUUUAUCCGUAUAUGUGUGAGUUCAAGUUCAUGUAUUUUGUUUUGACUUCUUCCGGAUAGCGUAUUGUUAAAAAAUUCUGCGUUGCAUUCUUAAGUUGAAGUUCGUGUUUUUGAAUUCUUUUGGGACUCUGUGCUCUUAAUACAUCUUGUUUGUGGAAGAAUAUACAUCCAUAUGUGCAAAAUGUUGGCUCAUAUGGUUGCUUUGUGUUUUCGAUUUGAGGAUUCGGAG